UACAGAGGUCCCAAGCGUUGUUCGGAUUCAUUGGGCGUAAAGGGUGUGUAGGUGGCGCCGUAAGUCGGGUGUGAAAUUUCGGAGCUUAACUCCGAAACUGCAUUCGAUACUGCGGUGCUUGAGGACUGGAGAGGAGACUGGAAUUCAUGGUGUAGCAGUGAAAUGCGUAGAGAUCAUGAGGAAGACCAGUGGCGAAGGCGGGUCUCUGGACAGUUCCUAACACUGAGGCACGAAGGCCAGGGGAGCAAACGGG
rnacentral:rRNA from 1 species